UAUGUCAACGAGAAAGAUCAACAACUGCAUGCCAGCACCUCCAAGUGUGAUCCUUCAUCAUGGCCAGGUGAUGAAGCUGAACUGGUGGCUGCAAGUCAGGCUGUGGAAGACUUGCUCAAGACCCCUGUUCAGACUAAACUGCCUGCAUCCGCUGUCCGCUCUACUCUGCCUGCUGCUGCUGCUGUCCAGCCAACACUGCCUGCACCCGCUGU